rnacentral:rRNA from 1 species
ACUCCUACGGGAGGCAGCAGUGGGGAAUAUUGCGCAAUGGGCGGAAGCCUGACGCAGCGACGCCGUGUGGGGGAUGAAGGCCUUCGGGUUGUAAACCUCUUUCGCCAUCGACGAAGGGCGCUCUUUUUGGGGUGUUUGACGGUAGGUGGGGAAGAAGCGCCGGCUAACUACGUGCCAGCAGCCGCGGUAAUACGUAGGGCGCAAGCGUUGUCCGGAUUUAUUGGGCGUAAAGAGCUCGUAGGCGGCUUGUCGCGUCUGCCGUGUAAGCCUUCGGCUUAACUGGGGGUUUGCGGUGGAUACGGGUGAGCUGGAGGCAGGUAGGGGAGAAUGGAAUUCCCGGUGUAGCGGUGAAAUGCGCAGAUAUCGGGAGGAACACCGGUGGCGAAGGCGGUUCUCUGGGCCUUGCCUGACGCUGAGGAGCGAAAGCGUGGGGAGCGAACAGGAUUAGAUACCCUGGUAG